ACUAAAUUCAUCUCAUGAGCCUUGAUUUUCUGAAUUACUGUGAAAAUAAAGUAAUGAAAUUCAUCCAUUUCCUAUAGUAUAUACCUAAAAGUUUCCAAGAACAAAGUGAGAAGAAAAUUGGGGCAAUGACCAUAUCAUAUUGUAUCAGAAAUAUAAUGCCAGAGUUCUUAGGUCUUAGAUAAUGAGGAGCAAUAAGAUAACAUGGAUUGUUGCCAUAAAAAAAUAAUCUUUACCUUUUGAUUUCAGAAGGGCAACAAGAGCUUAGCAAUUGGGGUUAAGUGACUUGCCCAGGAUCACGCAGCUAGAUAGUGUCUAAGAUCAGUUUUGAACCCAUGUCCACCCAAUUCCAGACCUGCCUCUCUAUCAACUAAGCCACAUAGCUGCCCCUAACAUGCAUUGUUUGUAAAUUACUUCAUGGUCUGAUCUACUGAGUUUUAGGGCCAUCCUAGGGGCAAUUAUAGAUAUUUAGAAUAGCCCUAGAAUAGGGAACCCCAUCCUUGAGAAAACAAGAAUAUCUCAUAUCUGCAGACUGAAUGGUUUCUCUUGAAUAGCAGUCAUGAAACUCAUACACCAGUAACUACCCUGGUGAGGGUCCCAAAAUACCACCAGCCUGCUCCUUCAGUCACAAACAUAGGGAAAACCACUACAUCUACAGCUUUCCACUUUGAUUGCCCCUUCCAAGACUUGUGCUUGAAGGGAAAGAACUAGUAGAAAGUAAGAAAAGUUGAUGAUUACAUCAGGAGACAAGAAUGGAGGGAAUAAACAGGGAAGAGAAAGGAGAAGAUCAAAUAAAUUGUUGUUGGACUUGUUGAAAGGGAGAGCCACUUCAGUAUCACAUAUGAGAAUAAAGGAAGAGUGGAUUGCUAUAAAAGGAAGUGGGAAGCAGGAUCUGAGAGGGAAUAGUUUCAAUUUCCAUCUAAGCAGUGUAGUGAGUAUUGUUGUAUUUGCAGUCAGUUAUGUGACCUUGCUCAGCCUCUGUUUCCUCAUCUGUAAACUGAUGAUAAUAACAGCACCUACUUUUCAAGGUUUUUGUGAGGAUCAAAUUAGAUAA
rnacentral:lncRNA from 1 species